AAGGCAGAAAUCGUAGUGUCAAGAUCUGAUCUCGGGAUCGUAGUGUCUGCACAAGCCGAAGCUGAAUCGUAGAGUGCAGAACUACGACCUAAGAAGAAGUGCUCACAAUGCCAAGGAUGAAUCGUAGAGCAUAUACGGUUCUCAACAAAUGAGCACUCCCAGAAUAUCCAAAGAAACGAAGCCUCUGGUUCAAGCUGCAAGCUACAUCCAAGGAAACCAG
rnacentral:lncRNA from 1 species